GCCCAGGUCACCGAGCUCGCGGACGGCGGCGUCUUCGUCGGCUUCGUCUGCAACCACGCGCUCGCCGACGGCACGGCCUUCUGGAACUUCCUCAAAGCGCUGGCCGAGAUAUCGCGCGCCAGGCUCGCGCCUCCGGGGGCGCCGCAGUCGCCGGCGUCGUCGCCCCGGCCCAUGUUCGAGCGCUGGUCGCCCGACGGCGGCACGGCGACACCGGUCGUGCUGCCGUGCAAGGACCUGUCGGAGCUCAUCGAGAGACCGGCGCGGGUGCCGCUCCGCGGGCGCGUCCUGCACUUCUCGGCGGAGUCGGUGGCGGCGCUCAAGGAACAGGCCCGCGAAGAGCUCCUAGCGGCCGGGGACGCGGCAGCCGCGACCGCCCAGACACGGUACCAGGCUCUGACCUCGCUGAUUUGGCGGUGCAUCACCCGCGCCCGGCGGCUGGCCCCGGACAGCGAGACAGCGUUCCACGGGGCCGCCAACAACCGCGGGCGGCUCCGGCCGCCGCUGCCGGCGGAGUACUUCGGCAACAGCCUCUAUGGCGUCAGCACGGAGCCCGUGCGCGUGUCGGAGCUGCUGGCGCGCGGCGGGCACGGGCGGGCGGCG
rnacentral:rRNA from 1 species